GAUGAACGCUGGCGGCAUGCCUAAUACAUGCAAGUCGAGCGAACAGAUGAAGUGCUUGCACUUCUGACGUUAGCGGCGAACGGGUGAGUAACACGUAAGGAAUCUACCUAUAAGCGGGGGAUAACAUUCGGAAACGGGUGCUAAUACCGCAUAAUAUCUUCUUCCGCAUGGAAGAAGAUUGAAAGACGGCUCUGCUGUCACUUAUAGAUGACCUUGCGGUGCAUUAGUUAGUUGGUGGGGUAAUGGCCUACCAAGACGAUGAUGCAUAGCCGACCUGAGAGGGUGAUCGGCCACAUUGGGACUGAGACACGGCCCAAACUCCUACGGGAGGCAGCAGUAGGGAAUCUUCCGCAAUGGGCGAAAGCCUGACGGAGCAAUGCCGCGUGAGUGAAGAAGGCCUUCGGGUCGUAAAACUCUGUUAUAAGAGAAGAACAAAUUGUAGAGUAACUGCUACAGUCCUGACGGUAUCUUAUCAGAAAGCCACGGCUAACUACGUGCCAGCAGCCGCCGUAA
rnacentral:rRNA from 1 species